GCUUCCGUAGCUCAGUUGGUUAGAGCUUCGUACUAAUAACCGUUAGUGAUGCGGAGGCCGCAGGUUCAAGCCCUGCCGGGAGCA
rnacentral:tRNA from 1 species